rnacentral:rRNA from 1 species
UACGUAGGCAGCAAGCGUUGUUCGGAGUUACUAGGCGUAAAGGGUGUGUAGGCGGUUCUUUUAAGUUUGGUGUGAAAUCUCCCGGCUCAACCGGGAGGGUGCGCCGAAAACUGAAGGGCUAGAGUGCGGGAGAGGAGAGUGGAAUUCCUGGUGUAGCGGUGAAAUGCGUAGAUAUCAGGAGGAACACCGGUGGUGUAAACGGCUCUCUGGACCGUAACUGACGCUGAGACACGAAAAGCCGUGGGUAGCAAACGG